AAUCCAAGUUUCGUGAAGUCAUGGUCUUAUUUUUAGCCUCUUCCGGGGUGGGUGGGGGACUAUUUUUCCUCCAUCACAAAGCCGGCGGAGGGUGACGCGGCUGGCGGCGGUGAGUCGUCCGCGGUGUAUAAAUAGGCCGCGCCCGGCCGGGGCGGCAGGCAUUCAGGCAGCCCGCGCAGCGCAGCAGGACAGGCGAGGCCAGGACAGGCGAGGCGAGGCGAGGCGAGGCGAGGCGACGGGAAGGCAGCCGCAGAUAAGUCUCCACUUAAAAAGAGAAAUAAACGUAGCUCUUAACGAACCUAAAUAGCUAAGGAGUCGCUAGGUGUUAAAAAUUCUUAGUUUUACUAAAACUAAAAAGGAUUUUAAUGGAAAAGAUGGCUUUUGAAAGUAAAGAGUGUAGUGUGAGGAAAGCCGUGAGGAGAAAAAAAAAAAGUUGUAUCCGGCGGAGGCUAAGUGGAAGGUGAUCCCCCCGGGUCCAUGUAAAUGUCUCUCAAUAAUUGGAAAGGGGGCCUUAAAGUCCCUCGUUAGAGGAAGACUAAAACCAAGAUGAUCUGGAAGGCUUAGAGGAAGACUAAAACCAAGAUGAUCUGGAAGGCUUAAACGUAGCUUUAAAAAGUACGGCUUGUAGGGAGUAAUUUAUUCGUAGCUGUAGAUAAGAAGGAUAAAAAGGUGGCAGGUGGUUAAAAGCGCCUUCCGUUCAUGGCGGAAAAAACGCUGCGUCAUUUGAAGCCUAGCUAAUAAUCUGAAGAUGCCUUUAGGAAGCUAAGACAGAAGAUGAGUUGGGUGUGGUAGGGUAAAAAAUGGAGAAGAUUAGAAAAUUGAAGUGGAAAAGUUGAAGACAGAAGGUGAAGAAAAGACCUAGAGAAGAUAGGAAAACUAGAAGAUUUUUAAAAAAGAAGUCUAGAAGACACAGCGUUAGGAAAGUAGAAGAUUUUAAAAAAUUUUAAAAAGUCUUUAGAAGAAACAGCCUUAGAAGACAAGGUUUCUUAAAUCUACAAAAUAGGAAGAAACCUAGGAAAACAACUGAGGUAAUUUUAAUCCACAAGAUAGGAAGAAGAAAGAAACCUAGAACAAGUAAGCAGGCAGAAGAAAACUAGAAGAUAGAACAUGAUUGGAAAGGGCUGUCAAGGCGAGGUAUUUCAGAUGAAACAAGCUAAACAUACCUUAUGCAAGCUUUCAAGAUAGGCAAAAAUGAGAAAAUUUAAAGUCAGAGUUUGAUAAAAUUAAACUGAAAAGGAGUAAUAGCAAUUUAAAAGUUCCGUCAGUUUUAACUUUUAAUGGGGCAGUUUAUAAGGCCUAAGGAGGCUAAUGCCUUAUUAAACCAGUUUUAAGCCUCUUUAGAAGAAUAUUUGAAACCAAAAGGCAGUUAGACGUCAAAAAGUUGCUAAAAGGACUGAAGUAAUUUAAGGCAGAAUGCGUUUGGAAGAGCUAGAAGAAUUUAAAAGGCCUUAAGCUCAUUAGCUUUACUUUGGAAGAAGGACUUUCAUAGCAAGUAAAUCUCAAGAUCUGAGUAAUCGGCAGUUUUGCAUUGGACUUUGAGCCCAGGUGGUUUUUAAAAUCUCGAGGACUAGCAGUAACAGCUGACCCAGGUCUACUCAAGUGGAUUCAGUGAACCUAGGAAGACAGGAGCCGCAGACAGGAGUCCAGGAACCAGUGUUUGACGCUAGGACUGAGGAGCCAGCUGCAGUUCGUGGUGAAGGAGCCAGUGCGGUUUGGUGUAGGAAGAAGGAGCGAGCCCUGACGAUCUGGUGGUGAAGCUAGGAAAGCAUGCCAGGAAGGAGGAGCCAGUGCGAUUUGGUGAAGCUAGCUGGAGGCUUGGCCUGUCAACUACCCGGAGGAGGCACGUUGUGGAGAAUAGAUAGUGGAUCCUAGACCAGCAUGAGUGUGCAAGGCUACCGAGAGCGUGUGGUGCUGUCAAGAUACCCCUUGAGGUCGGCCAUGUGUCUGUAACUGGUGUGGUAACUUGUUUGCUUUCGUAAUGUAAUGGGGGAGUUGUGUACUUGAAAAGGGUUUUAUAUGGGUUAGGCCGAUGUCCGGGUGUCGUAGGUUUUUCUUUUUCAGGCUUCUAUUCUCAUACAUCUUGUCUGAAGCUUUUGAGGGCAGACUGCCAAGCCUGGAGGAAUGGUAGAAUGGCAAGUUUUUGUCUUUUUAAACAAAUUUGAGGGAAACCGUGAAUCUCAUAGAACCAACAGAACUUGAACAGAUUUGUAAGCAGUUUUUUAGUUGGGGGUUAUAACAUAACUUUGUGGAUAAUCUGUUCUCUUCCCCCCGUAAUUUUGUAAAUAAGGAGUCUGGGUGUAUAACUUGGUGGAAAGUUAUUUUUGUUGGGGGGGAUGGGGGGGCAAAUAUGUUUUGAGUUCUUUUCCCCUUAGGUCUGUAGAAUCCUAAAGGCAGAUGACUGGAGGUAAAAGAAAAAAAAGAACAAUCCAGUAUCAGGAUAAUGGGAACACCGCAGGUUUACAGUUUCUUUAAACUAGAGCACCAGCCGCUCUGGAGGAGCCUGGUCCAUUGGAGAAAUGGCUGGUAGUUAUUCUUCCCUCCCCCUUUUUUAAGUGCUUAACCCUGUCACCAUGCUCUUUUUACUUGAAUUAUUUGGGGGAUGGUCUUAACAGGGAAGAGAGGGUGGGGGAGAAAAUGUUUUUUCUAAGACUUUCCACAGAUGCUAUAGUACUGUUGACAAAAGUGGGUUAGAGAAGGCGAGUGCUGCUGUGCUGUUGGCACGAACACCUUCAGGGAUUGGAGCUGCCUCUUACCUUCCUUGGAAGAGUUUUCCCAGUUGAAGCUGGAAAAGCACAGUGCAGCUUUACUCAGUCAUCUCAGGAGAACUUCAGGAGCGCUUGACUAGGCCAAAUAUUGAAGUUAAGUUUCCACAUACCAAGUGACUUAAAAUACUCCUAAAGGGGAGGGAGAAAUUUUGGCAAGUAGUUGGCCAAGGCCUGUUUGGGAGUGGGGGGUUGGGUUUAGGUAAUUGUUUAGUUUAUGAUUUCAGAUACUCAUACCAGAAAGCUUAAGUACUUAGAAUGGAAAA